GCCACGGUGGUCUAGCGGUUAUAACGCUGGCCUUGUAAUCCUGGGGUCUCGGGUUCGAUUCCCGGUGGUGCCC
rnacentral:tRNA from 1 species